AGAAUCAACGCUGGCGGCGUGCCUAACACAUGCAAGUCGAACGAGAAAGUGGAGCAAUCCAUGAGUAAAGUGGCGCACGGGUGAGUAACACGUGACUAACCUACCCUUGAGUGGGGGAUAACCUAGGGAACCUGGGCUAAUACCGCAUAAUACCUUCGGGUCAAAGGAGCAAUUCGCUUAAGGAGGGGGUCGCGGCCGAUUAGGUUAGUUGGCGGGGUAAUGGCCCACCAAGACUGUGAUCGGUAU
rnacentral:rRNA from 1 species